rnacentral:rRNA from 1 species
GUGUCAGCCGCCGCGGUAAAACGUAGGAGACGAGCGUUAUCCGGAUUUACUGGGCGUAAAGCGUGUGCAGGCGGUUCGGCAAGUUGGAUGUGAAAUCUCCCGGCUCAACUGGGAGGGGUCGUUCAAUACUACCGAACUUGAGGUCAUCAGAGGAAGAUGGAAUUCCCGGUGUAGUGGUGAAAUGCGUAGAUAUCGGGAGGAACACCAGUGGCGAAGGCGGUCUUCUGGGAUGAUCCUGACGCUCAGACACGAAAGCUAGGGGAGCGAACGGGAUUAGAUACCCCCGUAGUCC